UACGUAGGGGGCCAGCGUUGUUCGGAAUUACUGGGUGUAAAGGGUGCGUAGGUGGCGGGGCAAGUCAGGUGUGAAAUCUCGGGGCUCAACCCCGAAACUGCACUUGAUACUGCCCUGCUCGAGUACUGGAGAGGAGAUUGGAAUUUACGGUGUAGCAGUGAAAUGCGUAGAUAUCAGGAGGAACACCUGCGGUGUAGACGGCUUACUGGACCAUAACUGACGCUGAGGCACGAAAGCGUGGGUAGCAAACGGG
rnacentral:rRNA from 1 species